UACGUAGGGGGCGAGCGUUGUCCGGAGUUACUGGGCGUAAAGCGCACGCAGGCGGUCUGCUAAGUUUGGAGUGACAGUUGGUGGCUUAACUGCCAAAGUGCUUCGAAAACUGACAGACUUGAGGGCUUCAGAGGGACACGGAAUUCCGGGUGGAGUGGUGAAAUGCGUAGAGAUCCGGAGGAACACCAAAGGCGAAGGCAGUGUCCUGGGGAGUACCUGACGCUGAGACGCGAAAGCGUGGGGAGCAAACAGG
rnacentral:rRNA from 1 species